rnacentral:sRNA from 1 species
UUUUCUAACCUUUGUCUCUGCAGAGGUGGGCUCCAGUCGCCGGCUGCGGGAUUGCGGAGUCCGCCGCGGCCUCGGCUCCCGCCCGGCGCCCGACCUGGCCCUACCGCCGCUCACUCGGUCCGCAUCGCCGCCAGCUCCAGAGCUGGUGGGGAGCCCGGCGAGGGAGGGCCUGGAAGGGGCCCUGGGCGCCGAGUCCCCCGCCGGCGCCGACACCGCCUGCCAAGAGCAGCCGGCCGCGGUUCUGGCGCGGCUUCUUCACCAACAUGAGCGGGUCUCUGCGUCCGAGAGUGAGCGCAGCCAGGCAGCGCCUAGUGGAUUACAGCAGACGCCCGGACCGACCGCCGCCUGCAGCUCGGCAGCCUUCGGAUCAGGGAGCCGAUAGCAUGUCCGGGCCUUGGUGACGACGGGUCAGGCCAUGAACUGGGCUUGAGAUCUCUGGCGAGGACUAGGAGAAAGAGCGAAGUUCGACAUUAUAAAUGUGGCCAAGCACGAGAGCUGAAAACAAAGCGUAUUUUCCCGUCAGAUGUUUCUACAAAUAAAUUUCGUCAGAGUUCUGUUUUCUGAAUCAGAGAGGCAAGGGAAAUCGAACAAAGACAGUAUUUCACCCUGGGCUGGCAGGCAGCUGUUAGAGGUAUUUACGGCCUUGCCGCAGUGCGGAGGCCAGGCAGCGGGGUAGGGUAUGCGGGGGCACCGGAAGCUGGGGAGAAGCCAUCAAGAACUCAGAAUUUCAACUUAAAUUCAAUUUAGGGUCACGUUUUCGGAAAUGGCGUGAACAGAUGCCCUCUUUCUAGGGACUGGUCCUUUAGACUUGAUAGUUUUGCAGAAUGAGGGAGAAGUUGUGCUCUCUGGAAGUAGGAUGGUUUUCCCCGCCUUGAAGAACGACUCAAGGGAAGCGGUGCCCUAGAUGUGACAUUUCUGAUCCACAUAACAACCUUCAGAGUGUUCAUUGGCAACGAGGAGAUGCUGCUUGUUCGGCGGAAUAGGGUUUGCAAAUCAGAAAGGACAGUUGAAGCUUAUAAUACAUGUUUUCCUG